rnacentral:ncRNA from 1 species
AGAGCCAGGGUCUUGGCGAUGUAGGGGAUCAUCGGCAGAUUGAGGAUCAGCAGCACCACGUUGCCGAUGUACAUGGACAUGAUCACCGACCAGAACACAUCGGGAUUUUCUUCCAUCAGCAGCGGCCC